GUUAGGAAUAUUGGACAAUGGGCGAAAGCCUGAUCCAGCCAUGCCGCGUGAACGAUGAAGGCCUUCGGGUUGUAAAGUUCUUUAGCCGAUGAUUAUAAUGACUGUAGUCGGAAAAUAAGCCCCGGCUAACUUCGUGCCAGCAGCCGCGGUAAUACGAAGGGGGCGAGCGUUAUUCGGAAUCACUGGGCGUAAAGCGUGCGUAGGCGGUUUUGUAAGUUAGGAGUGAAAGCCCAGGGCUCAACCUUGGAAUUGCUCUUAAACCUGCAAGGCUCGAAUCUCGGAGAGGAUAGCGGAAUUUCCAGUGUAGCAGUGAAAUGCGUAGAUAUUGGAAGGAACACCAAUGGCGUAAGCGGCUAUCUGGACGAGUAUUGACGCUGAGGCACGAAAGCGUGGGGAUCAAACAGGAUUAGAUACCCCGGUAGUCC
rnacentral:rRNA from 1 species